rnacentral:lncRNA from 1 species
UUUGAAUGUGUUAAGUGAAAUGAUACUUGUACUCCCCCUACCCCUUUGUCAACUGCUGUGAAUGCUGUAUGGUGUGUGUUCUCUUCUGUUACUGAUAUGUAAGUGUGGCAAUGUGAACUGAAGCUGAUGGGCUGAGAACAUGGACUGAGCUUGUGGUGUGCUUUGCAGGAGGACUUGGAAGCAGAGUUCAGCAGUGAACUCUGGUGUCUCAAAGAAGGGUAGAAGUUCUAAUGUCUGUUAGCUACCCAUAAGAAUGCUGUUUGCUGCAGUUCUGUGUCCUGUGCUUGGAUGCUUUUUAUAAGAGUUGUCAUUGUUGGAAAUUCUUAAAUAAAACUGAUUUAAAAAAAAAAAACCAAAAAUCUAAGUAAAGGGGUCGGAACUACAUCUCCCAGGAGGCCCCGCG